CUUUCGCUCCCAUCGCGAUUUCUUCACCUUCCUCGCGAUUCCUCUGCUGCGCCCACGCCUGCGCCCGCGCUCACGCUCCGCAUCCUCAUCCUCAUCGCUCCCCACCCCUUCCUCAUCCUGCGCGCCGCCGCCCUCGCCUGCCGCGUCGCCCUCGCCGUCGGUCGCCUCCCCACCGACGAGUCACCAUCGACGAUGUCCAGGACCCCACCUUCGGAGUUCCAACGCCGUCGGCAGCCGUCCUUGCCGUUCGUGCGCUGUGCUCCACCGAAGGGAACCCAUUCCUAGGGUUUGGCUGCUGCCGCCAAUCCGCGCUGUUGCGCCGCCGCCAUCCCCGAAUCCGAUGACGCCGUCGGUUGCAAUCGCCGUUGCGGCUGCUGGGAUAACAGCAACGGAGGCAGGAGCGAGGAGGAUGCAACGGUGGAGAACACCGACGUGGGGAGCGUGUCGGCAGCGUCGGGGGCUGGCUGUGGCGCGGCGUUGUAGAGGAGGACGGGGUCCGGGUGGUGGGACUGGGGUAGACGGUGAGCUCGUCCCCACGCUGCCGUGUUCUGCGAGCGUCGCGCUGCCCUCCAGAAUUCGCAUGGCAUCCCCACGCUGUCGUGUACUGCAAGAGCCGCGCCGCCCUCCACAACUCGCAUGGCAUUCACACGCGCCACCAUUGCCAAUCAGAGGCACCUCAAUGGAGAACAAUCGUGAUUCCAUGGACGCCAUCCUCCACAACGAACAGAAGAACCUCCCCAUCUCCAAUAAGGUACGCCUCUAAUUGAUGCACGCCAGGCACUCGAUGAAAUCACCAAGAAGGGGUCGUUCAUGCCCAAACAACUCGGAGUAGCGAGCACUGGUGCUGUUGUUGAGCACAGUGCAGCUCACUGUCACUGGUGUGGCUCAGUGGGUCGAGGUGCUUCUAUUGUCCGCAUUACCUUAAAUUUGGAGCUGGGUCCGCCAUUUCCACCAAUGUUGCCUCCCCCAAGAGCUCGCUUAGGAUGUGAAGGUGUUUGAGCUGCAGGUGGGCUGGAUAAAUGUGAUUCGUUCGGGUUCUUUGAGAUUGACAUAUACCUGUCGUGAGUUGCUGUUGUAAACCUGUGAUAGUUCUGUUACGGAUUGGGGCUCAUGGAGUCGUGGAUGGAUCAGUAUGAGAUCAUGGAGCAGAUUGGUCGUGGCGCAUUUGGUGCUGUCAUCCUUGUUAAUCACAAGAUUGAGAAGAAGAAGUAUGAUAUAGCACCCAUCCAUCAGUUGGAUUUCUCCCUUCAAUUAGGUGACUGUAUGCUUGUCUUAA